rnacentral:rRNA from 1 species
GGGUUAGUAGGUUGGUCAUGCCUAGGUACGUACUGGUCUCACUGAUUCCUCCUUCCUGAUGAGCUGUAAUGCCAUUAAUUUGGUGUUGCGGGGAAUUUGGACUGUUACUUUGAAAAAAUUAGAGUGUUUAAAGCAAGCUAACGCUUGAAUACAUUAGCAUGGAAUAAUGAAAUAGGACGUUCGAUCCUAUUUUGUUGGUUUUUAGGAUCAACGUA